GACGAACGCUGGCGGCGUGCUUAACACAUGCAAGUCGAGCGGUAAGGCCCCUUCGGGGGUACACGAGCGGCGAACGGGUGAGUAACACGUGAGCAAUCUGCCCAUCACAUCGGGAUAACUCCGGGAAACCGAGGCUAAUACCGAAUACGACCACCUCCGGCAUCGGAUGGUGGUGGAAAGUUCCGGCGGUGAUGGAUGAGCUCGCGGCCUAUCAGCUUGCUGGUGGGGUAACGGCCCACCAAGGCUUCGACGGGUAGCCGGCCUGAGAGGGUGACCGGCCACACUGGGACUGAGACACGGCCCAGACUCCUACGGGAGGCAGCAGUGGGGAAUAUUGGACAAUGGGCGAAAGCCUGAUCCAGCAACGCCGCGUGAGGGAUGACGGCCUUCGGGUUGUAAACCUCUUUCAGCAGGGACGAAGCGCAAGUGACGGUACCUGCAGAAGAAGCACCGGCCAACUACGUG
rnacentral:rRNA from 1 species